rnacentral:rRNA from 1 species
GGGGGGCGGCGUGCUAUAAUGCAGUCGACGCACAGCGAAAGGUGCUUGCACCUUUCAAGUGAGUGGCGAACGGGUGAGUAACACGUGGACAACCUGCCUCAAGGCUGGGGAUAACAUUUGGAAACAGAUGCUAAUACCGAAUAAAACUUAGUGUCGCAUGACACAAAGUUAAAAGGCGCUUCGGCGUCACCUAGAGAUGGAUCCGCGGUGCAUUAGUUAGUUGGUGGGGUAAAGGCCUACCAAGACAAUGAUGCAUAGCCGAGUUGAGAGACUGAUCGGCCACAUUGGGACUGAGACACGGCCCAAACUCCUACGGGAGGCUGCAGUAGGGAAUCUUCCACAAUGGGCGAAAGCCUGAUGGAGCAACGCCGCGUGUGUGAUGAAGGCUUUCGGGUCGUAAAGCACUGUUGUAUGGGAAGAACAGCUAGAAUAGGAAAUGAUUUUAGUUUGACGGUACCAUACCAGAAAGGGACGGCUAAAUACGUGCCAGCAGCCGCGGUAAUACGUAUGUCCCGAGCGUUAUCCGGAUUUAUUGGGCGUAAAGCGAGCGCAGACGGUUUAUUAAGUCUGAUGUGAAAGCCCGGAGCUCAACUCCGGAAUGGCAUUGGAAACUGGUUAACUUGAGUGCAGUAGAGGUAAGUGGAACUCCAUGUGUAGCGGUGGAAUGCGUAGAUAUAUGGAAGAACACCAGUGGCGAAGGCGGCUUACUGGACUGCAACUGACGUUGAGGCUCGAAAGUGUGGGUAGCAAACAGGAUUAGAUACCCUGGUAGUCCACACCGUAACGAUGAACACUAGGUGUUAGGAGGUUUCCGCCUCUUAGUGCCGAAGCUAACGCAUUAAGUGUUCCGCCUGGGGAGUACGACCGCAAGGUUGAAACUCAAAGGAAUUGACGGGGACCCGCACAAGCGGUGGAGCAUGUGGUUUAAUUCGAAGCAACGCGAAGAACCUUACCAGGUCUUGACAUCCUUUGAAGCUUUUAGAGAUAGAAGUGUUCUCUUCGGAGACAAAGUGACAGGUGGUGCAUGGUCGUCGUCAGCUCGUGUCGUGAGAUGUUGGGUUAAGUCCCGCAACGA